rnacentral:rRNA from 1 species
CACGUAGGCGGCGCUCUAAGUCAGGUGUGAAAUCCCCCGGCUCAACCGGGGAACUGCACCUGAUACUGGAGCGCUCGAGGACGGUAGGGGUGAGUGGAACUCCAGGUGGAGCGGUGAAAUGCGUAGAUAUCUGGAGGAACACCGGUGGCGAAAGCGGCUCACUGGACCGUCCCUGACGCUGAGGUGCGAAAGCUAGGGUAGCAAACG